GAUGAACGCUAGCGGCAGGCCUAAUACAUGCAAGUCGAACGGGAUCAGGGAGCUUGCUCCCUGUGAGAGUGGCGCACGGGUGCGUAACACGUAUGCAACCUACCUUCAACUGGGGGAUAGCCUUCCGAAAGGAAGAUUAAUACCGCAUAACAUAAUUGAAUGGCAUCAUUUGAUUAUCAAACGUCAGGGUUGAAGAUGGGCAUGCGUCCGAUUAGCUAGUUGGUGUGGUAACGGCACACCAAGGCGACGAUCGGUAGGGGAUCUGAGAGGAUGACCCACCACACUGGUACUGUGACACGGACCAGACUCCUACGGGAGGCAGCAGUAAGGAAUAUUGAGCAAUUGACGCAAGUUUGAACCAGCCAUGCCGCGUGCAGGAAGACGGUCCUCUGGAUUGUAAACUGCUUUUGUUAGGGAAGAAACCCUCGGAUGCGUCCGGGGCUGACGGUACCUAAAGAAUAAGGAUCGGCUAACUCCGUGCCAGCCGCCGCGGUAAAAC
rnacentral:rRNA from 1 species